GACAAUAGUGUCAUUCACUCAGAAUUAUUUUUUGAGAAUUGAUUACAAGGUUCAUGAUUCUUAAUGCUAGAACUGGAACUUUGCUUCCAUCUCCAAUGUUCAGGAAUCUCUCACCUUCAUCAAAUCUCCUACUGACCUGCAGACCCUACAUCGAAUUGCAAAUAUGAUAAGGGCUUCUGGUAUCUAAUACCCAGGCAGUAGUAUCACAAAUGGAAAAGUUGCAAGGUGUUAUCAUAUAAGUACCUUGCUUCUUCUUCGGCCUGUUCGGAUCCAGUGAGGCAAUGUAUGGAGGACA
rnacentral:lncRNA from 1 species